rnacentral:tRNA from 1 species
GCGUAGGUGGUGUAAGGCGUAGCAUCGUUGCCCGGAAAGCAGAGGAUGCGUGUUCGAAUCCCGCCUGGCGCA